GAUGAACGCUGGCGGCGUGCCUAAUACAUGCAAGUCGAACGCGAGAGGAGGGAGCUUGCUCCCUCUGAUCGAGUGGCGGACGGGUGAGUAACACGUAGGCAACCUGCCCAUCAGCCGGGGAUAACUGCGGGAAACCGUGGCUAAUACCGGAUAAUCCUCUCCACCGCGGGGUGGGGAGUUGAAAGACGGUUUCGGCUGUCGCUGAUGGAUGGGCCUGCGGCGCAUUAGCUGGUUGGCGGGGUAACGGCCCACCAAGGCAACGAUGCGUAGCCGACCUGAGAGGGUGAUCGGCCACACUGGGACUGAGACACGGCCCAGACUCCUACGGGAGGCAGCAGUAGGGAAUCUUCCGCAAUGGACGCAAGUCUGACGGAGCAACGCCGCGUGAGUGAAGAAGGGUUUCGGCUCGUAAAACUCUGUUGUUAAGGAAGAACGCCAGGUAGAGUAACUGCUACCUGUGUGACGGUACUUAACCAGAAAGCCACGGCUAACUACGUGCCAGCCGCCGCAGUAA
rnacentral:rRNA from 1 species